UUAAGGUAAUAGCUGUUGGGAACAAUGAAAGGCCGUGUCUCUAUUUUAGGAAUCAACACUUGGAACAAAAAUACAGGAGCUUACAAAUAGUAAGGAGGUUUGUUCUAAUAUGGGUUCAGUCCUUUGUGGUUUUGGCUUGCAAUAGUAUUCAGAGGUGAGCGGUCCUAAAAUCAUUAAAUCCAUUUUUAUCUAUUCCUCUCUUUGCUAUGGUUUGCGCUGAAUUUGCAAUGUCGUAUCGUCAGCGUGGGGCAAGAUUCAGCUGGUGCCGGAUGUUUGAAGCAGAUCUUCUUUAAGCCAGUGAAGCGCUUGUAUCACGGUCGUCUUCGUCCCAGGACAAGCGGGUUCGCCUUGUGCUGUAAGUGUGUGGCAUGGUGUCCCAGCUGGCGUUUGCACUGA
rnacentral:lncRNA from 1 species